rnacentral:rRNA from 1 species
CGGACGGGUGAGUAAUGCUUGGGAAUCUGGCUUAUGGAGGGGGAUAACUACGGGAAACUGUAGCUAAUACCGCGUAAUAUCUUCGGAUUAAAGGGUGGGACCGUAAGGCCACCUGCCAUAAGAUGAGCCCAAGUGGGAUUAGGUAGUUGGUGGGGUAAAGGCCUACCAAGCCGACGAUCUCUAGCUGGUCUGAGAGGAUGACCAGCCACACUGGAACUGAGACACGGUCCAGACUCCUACGGGAGGCAGCAGUGGGGAAUAUUGCACAAUGGGGGGAACCCUGAUGCAGCCAUGCCGCGUGAAUGAAGAAGGCCUUCGGGUUGUAAAGUUCUUUCGGUGAUGAGGAAGGCGGUUGUUUUAAUAGAACAAUCGAUUGACGUUAGUCACAGAAGAAGCACCGGCUAACUCCGUGCCAGCAGCCGCGGUAAUACGGAGGGUGCGAGCGUUAAUCGGAAUGACUGGGCGUAAAGGGCACGCAGGCGGUGACUUAAGUGAGAUGUGAAAGCCCCGGGCUUAACCUGGGAAUUGCAUUUCAUACUGGGUCGCUAGAGUAUUUUAGGGAGGGGUAGAAUUCCACGUGUAGCGGUGAAAUGCGUAGAGAUGUGGAGGAAUACCGAAGGCGAAGGCAGCCCCUUGGGAAUAUACUGACGCUCAUGUGCGAAAGCGUGGGGAGCAAACAGGAUUAGAUACCCUGGUAGUCCACGCUGUAAACGCUGUCGAUUUGGGGAUUGGGCUUUAAGCUUGGUGCCCGUAGCUAACGUGAUAAAUCGACCG